UGUAGUGAUGGUGGUGGUGGCAGUAGCAGUGGUGGUGAUAGUAGUAGUAGUAGUAGUUGUAGUAAUAGGAGCAGUAAUAGUAGUAGUAGUAGUGGUGGUGGUGGCUGUGGCAGCAGCAGCUUGGUGCUUACUGUGGAGGCUGACAGAAGCACCAAUAGCUGUGGGCUGAGGUGGUGACUGUCUCUUUAGCAGCUCACCAAUUGACAGGGUCACCAAUUGUGUCGGAGAGAGGUGGUGAUGGUGGCAGUGGUGGUGAUGGUCCCUUCCUCCCCUCCCCUCCAUCUUCCCUUCUACAGGCUGGUUAAUUAGAUAUAGUAGUGUAGAGGUGGACAAGUAUGGUGGUGGUGGUGGUGAUGAUGCACAUACAACACUAGAACAUGAUACUAUAGAUUUUCAAGUUAAGUGGGUGUUGUGGUGGUGUAGUGAAGGAUAUAACACCACAACACCUUGCCUUUCUCAUCCUCAUGCAACACCACACACUAAGAAAGUUAUUGUAAUGGUGUUGAUGGUGCUGAAGGAAUGAAUGGUGAGCUAGGGUGGAGUUCUGCUGUAAUGUCCUGGGUUUUGGCACCACUAUACUCCCACUUGUUUUCUAUUAUGUCCUCCUCCUCCUCCUCCCAGUGUGUGUUCUUUUCCUUCUUUCACCACCACCUUUUACCAUGGUGUGUAUGUGUGUGUGCACGUGCUUUCCCUUCCCUUCCACCUCCUUCUUUUAGUGUAGUAAAGGAAACACAUGAAUCAAGUUUUGUUCUUUUAGUUUUGUUUGUCAUUUUUUGGUUUGUCUUGGUCUCAUUUCUAACUUUGCCUCAUCUGAGUUUUGUCUUGUUAUAAAUGUCAAGUGCCAGACUAACAAUAAUUAUUAAUGGUAUUGAAAAGGAAUUAAAAUCUUCACACAAAUGAGGCCUAAUUAUUAAUGGUAUUGAAAAGGAAUUAAAAUCUUCACACAUGCCUCUCAUUUGCACAUUUUAUUCAAUCUAUUUCAAGAAAGUUUAGACUCAUUCAGCAAUACAUAUUAGUAAACAGGAACAGUAGCAGCAGUAGUAGUGUUGUCUUUUAAUAGGUAUCUUAUUAAUUAACAAAUAAUUAGUUAGUUGUGUGUAUAAUAAAUUUUGUAGUGUUUAAAUAAAUUUUGUAGUGUUUAAUAUCUAAUGCACUCCACAUUACCACCAGCCACCCUGACCACUGAGAGGAGAGGAAGAGACAUUAUGAAGAGACCAAGAUUUAAGACAGCAAGACUGAGGAUAACAAAGAACUAGAAACAUUAUGAAGAGCAACAACUUGAGGGCAGUAGAGAGCAUUGAGAAAGAAGAGUGAGCAGUGAGUAUAGAGGAGUUGGCACCAGCAGAGCAUGUAAGAGAGAAGAGAAGUGACACUUGCAGUAAGGAAGAGAACACAAGAAUGGGAAUAGUCAUUAUCAAAGACACACCACAGCAGCAUGAGAGGAGAGAGAACACAGGAGCAGGGAAACAGACUGGGCAACAAAAGGAGGGAACACACCAUCAUCAAAGAAGAGAUUAGAGAUAGUAGGGUGAGAAGGCUACCAAGAAGAGAACAAAGGAGAGAAGAGAGAAGUGACCAGCGAAGAAAAGAAAAAGGUUCCUCCUAUCGCAGAGAAGAGAAGAGAAGAAGGGACCAGCAUCAAAACAAUAACUUAACACAAAUAGAAAUGCAUGUUAUUCAGGUUGUGUUCUUUAAUCUGUUGUGUCCAUGGUGUGUUCUUUCACCAUGUUCUUUAACCUCUGUGUGUGCUCUUCAAUGGUGUGUUCUCUCAUCAUCCCCAUCCACUUGUACUGCUGCA
rnacentral:lncRNA from 1 species